rnacentral:lncRNA from 1 species
GGACUGGUCUAGCUCCAGCAGCUUCCCUGUGGCAUUCAGGUGUCUGAUGAGUAACUCUUCUGAACCACCCCCCACAUCCCCCAGCCCUAAGGCCUCCACACCAAGCUCUGGAACAUGAGGGUAAUUUGAACCUGCAUCUGUGGACUGCUUCGUCUGUGUUUACAGAGAGAAGACAACCUGCAAGAAACAGGAUUGGAUUUGUUAUUUGUAAGUCAAACCAGCUGUGAUCUCCUGUCUAUGGCUGCUUUCUUUGCAAAUACCAAAUGUCACUUGUGGUUGGAGCUACUUUUCUUCCCAGAGAGUUGUUUUCCCCUCACACAGCCAGCCUUCCUUCCAUGCCUCUUCCCCCACCAGCUGCUCCCCUGCAAGGUAUCAGUUUGCUGGGUCAGCCUGGGCACUGCUGCACCCGGCUCCAGCUGCUUGGCUGGGGUGCUUUUCCCCUCCUUUUAGAAAUCAACUAGAAAUCCAUCUUCAUGAAGUUCUAAAUCAAGAAUCACUUUGGCAAGAAUAAAAAGAAGAAACACUUGGCACAAUUUACACUCAUUGGAAGGAGCAUC